rnacentral:RNase_P_RNA from 2 species
GGAGCCGGCCAGACAGUCGCGUCAUUCGAAAGGAUGCCGAGGAAAGUCCGGGCUCCACAGGGCACGGUGCCAGGUAACGCCUGGGCGGCGCGAGCCGACGGAAAGUGCAACAGAGAGCAGACCGCCGAACGGUCCUUCGGGAUGCGUGGCAAGGGUGAAACGGUGCGGUAAGAGCGCACCGCGAGUCUGGCAACAGACCGGCACGGCAAACCCCACCGGGAGCAAGACCAAAUAGGGAGGCAAUGCCGCGGCCCGCGGUGUCUCCGGGUAGGUUGCUUGAGCGUAUCGGUGACGAUGCGCCUAGAGGAAUGACUGUCCACGACAGAACCCGGCUUAUCGGCCGGCUCCGCCA